GCACCUGCUGCGCGCGGCCGGAGCUCCGCGGGUGGCUGAGGGGACAGCCUGACACACCCGACAGCACGGCCCAGGAGGCGGGUGUUCGCUCGGAGCUGCUUCUGCGCCCUGCUGAGAGUGCGUAUCACAGGUUCAGUUGGGUUGGAAAAGACCUCAGACACCUUCGAGUCCAACCUGUGACCGAACCAUCACCUUGUCAAUUACACCACGGCAUUAGUUGCCAUGUCCGGUCUUUCCCUGCGCACCUCCAGCGACGGUAACUCCACCACGUCUCCGGGCAGUCCAGACCAAUGUCUACUCACCCUUUCUGUGAACAAAUCCCCCUAAUGUCCAAUCUAAACCCCUGAUGGCGCAAUUUUAAGACUUAAGACUGUUGUUCUGUACCUACCCAGGAGAAGAGGCUGAACGCCACCUGAUUCCAACCUCCUUUCAGGUAUUUGUAGAGAGUGUCCAUCAUAUUUUAUUGAGGUGUCCAAUGCCUCACACCUUGUUUCUGUGCUAUCUAGUGCUACCUUGGAAGGAUCUUUUCCCAGGAGCAAUACCCUCCCUGACUUGAGGCAGAAUCCACUAAAUUGAGUUGCCACACUAGGCAAAAUUUGCCUUAAGUUGCCUUCACUAUCUCCAGAACAAUUUACCUGCAUGUAGAGGAUAAGGGAGGCAUGGCAGCAGGCACUCUCUUAUCUUCAGGUCACUUACAUUUUUGCUUUUUAUCUGUUGUAGUUGUAGCCCUGCAGUUUUGCCACACUUUCUACCACUUUAUACAACUGAAAACUUCCAAGUGUAUAGGCCAGAAUAUGUGUAACAAUAAUAAAAAAAUAAAUUUAAAAAGCCUUCAUACCAAACGUGAUUUGGAUCACAGUCUGCAGAAAGCUGUCAUCCAAAGAAGGUGCACAAGAAGCUGGGAGGAGCAUAGUCAGGACAGCUGACCGAAACUGUCCAAGGGGAUAUUCCAUACUCAGAACAGCAUGCUCAGUGUAUGAACUGGGGGAACUGGCCUGGAGCUGCUGAUCACUGCUCAAGGAUGGGCUGGCCAUCAGUCAGCAGAUGGACAAAAGAACACAAAAAUUCCUUAAUAGGUUCUUCAGUGAAUUUAUUGGGAGAUAUUUUCUCUCCUUCUGUGUUAAAGAAGAAACUAAAUAUAUGACGGAAGAAAGAAAGGUAUCAUUGGUAGUAUUUAUGUAUUUUAAUAAUGCACAAGAUUUCAGUAAAUUUUAGCACCCUGUAAAGUUUCAACAAUCUGCUGUUCCCUUGUUAGCAUGAUGAGGAACAGGGAAAGAUGAAGCAUUGGGUGCUAUAUUUCUUAGGGCACCCAUUUGGAAUAAUUUUUGUCUGCAAAAAAGCACUGCCUGCAUUUCCUUUCCUCCCAGAAACUGCUAAGCUCAGAGCGAGCAUUGCUAUGGUGAUAACGUAUUGACUUUUUCUCACAGAGCAAAGAAAUAGAAUCCCUUCUAUAUCUGAAAAAGAUGCAUUUUUUUACUGCUUAUCUGUGACUGGUGCCUUCAGCCCCUUCCAGGAAUGGCUUCCAAAAACAGUAAUAGUUAUAUUUUUGUUUUUAAUCCAAGAAAAGUUACAUCACAAACAAAGAAAACAGUAUUACUAGCAAUUUUAAAUAUUAAGGCCAAGAAUAGCUGUGAAUAAUGAAGUGGUAGAAAACAUCACUUAAAUUUUCAUGUUCCACUGUGAGUCAUUGUUCAGAAAUAAAAAAAGAAAAGGGAAGAAAUCAGUUUAUGAUACAGAUAAUUAAUUUUGAUCUCAGGAGAAAACAACUUUAAAAAAGAUGAAUGUAGCAGAGAAGAGGCAUCCAUUGUGUAAGUGGGAAUUCGGCUGCUCUCCACCUCCUUCAUGAGGCCUGUUGGUAUCUCAUAUCAAAGUAAUGAAAAACCACUGUGACACAGAAAGAACUAGGAUAUGUGUGUUUUCCACAAAAAUGUUCUUAGCAGCAGUGUAACAAGAGUUUCUGGGCUUUUUUAUUAUUUCUCGUCUUUGCCAAAGCCAGAGAGACUCUUUUGUGCUAUACAGGAAAAGGGAUGUGCAAAUUGUCAUCUCAGCGGCUAUUGAGAUUGGUGUUUCUGCUGCUGAAUUUUCCCUCUCUACAUCUACAGCUGAAAAUGACUUCAUAUAAAG